rnacentral:rRNA from 1 species
UAGGGAAUCUUCCACAAUGGACGAAAGUCUGAUGGAGCAAUGCCGCGUGAGUGAAGAAGGUUUUCGGAUCGUAAAACUCUGUUGUGAGGGAAGAACAAGUACGAGAGUAACUGCUCGUACCUUGACGGUACCUCAUUAGAAAGCCACGGCUAACUACGUGCCAGCAGCCGCGGUAAUACGUAGGUGGCAAGCGUUGUCCGGAAUUAUUGGGCGUAAAGCGCGCGCAGGCGGUCCCUUAAGUCUGAUGUGAAAUCCCACGGCUCAACCGUGGAAGGUCAUUGGAAACUGGGGGACUUGAGUACAGAAGAGGAAAGCGGAAUUCCAAGUGUAGCGGUGAAAUGCGUAGAGAUUUGGAGGAACACCAGUGGCGAAAGGCGGCUUUCUGGUCUGUAACUGACGCUGAGGCGCGAAAGCGUGGGGAGCAAACAGGAUUAGAUACCCUGGUAGUCCACGCCGUAAACGAUGAGUGCUAAGUGUUAGGGGUUUCCGCCCUUAGUGCUGCAGC